GCAUAUCAAUAAGCGGAGGAAAAGAAACCAACAGGGAUUGCCUUAGUAACGGCGAGUGAAGCGGCAAGAGCUCAAAUUUGAAAUCUGGCGUCUUACGGCGUCCGAAUUGUAAUUUGUAGAGGUAACUUUGGAGGCGGUCCUUGCAUAUGUUCCUUGGAACAGGACGUCAUAGAGGGUGAGAAUCCCGUACGUGGUGGGGUGCCCGUCUCCUUGUAAAGUGCCUUCGACGAGUCGAGUUGUUUGGGAAUGCAACUCUAAGUGGGUGGUAAAUUCCAUCUAAAGCUAAAUAUCAGCGAGAGACCGAUAGCGAACAAGUACAGUGAUGGAAAGAUGAAAAGAACUUUGAAAAGAGAGUGAAACAGUACGUGAAAUUGUUGAAAGGGAAGCCUUUGAGAUCAGACAUGGCUUUCGGUGAUCAGCUACCCUUCGUGGGUGGUGCACUCGCCGUUGGCUGGGCCAACAUCGGUUCGGAUGGUGGGAUAAAAGCAUUGGAAUGUAGCUUCUUCUGAAGUGUUAUAGCCUUUGUUCAUACCGCCUGUCUGGACCGAGGACCGCGCUUCGGCUAGGAUGUUGGCGUAAUGAUCUUAAAGGGCCCGUCUUGAAACACGGACCAAGGAGUCUAACGUCUAUGCGAGUGUUUGGGUGUAAAACCCGUAC
rnacentral:rRNA from 1 species